ensembl:lncRNA
GCAGGUGAACAGCCCCAGCUCUGCCAGAGUCUUUUACCUACAUCCUUUCCAUUGCUGUGCCAGCCUGUCCCCACUGAUGUCCCUGCACUGGCACCUGGGGCUGCACUCUGUGCCGUGCGCGGUGGGGACGGAGCCCUUUGUGGCUCCCUUCCAAAUGAGGAUGUGUUACGGUUCCAUGAUUUAAGAACACCCCUUUUUCAGAAAUUGUAGGUAUUGCAUUUUGCCACACGGGCGGGCAGACAUUGGCACGGGCUGUCCAGAGAGGCCAGUCUCAGUGGAGGGGCUCGGGAGGCGCCGGGCUGUGGCUGGAGUGUGCAGUGUGGUGGGUUCGGAAUUACAGUGGCAGGGCUGGAACAUAUGGAGGAUCUCUUCCAGCCCUGGUGAUCCCCUGGCCUUGGGUCACCCCUCAGUGCCCCACCAUGCCAGGUUCCCCUCGGAGCCCCCACCAUGCCAUGUCACCCUUCAGUGCCCCACCAUGCCAGGUCACCCCUCAGUGUCCCCACCAUGCCAUGUUCCCCUCAUUGCCCCACCAUGCCACGUUCCCCUCAGUGCCCCACCAUGCCAGGUCACCCCUCAGUGUCCCCACCAUGCCAGGUCACCCCUCAUUGCCCUGCCAUGCCAGGUCACCCCUCAUUGCCCUGCCAUUCCAUGUCACCCCUCAGAGCCCCACCAUGCCAGGACACCCCUCAGUGCCCCGCCAUCCCACGUUCCCCUCAGAGCCCCCCCGCCAUCCCACGUUCCCCUCAGAGCCCCGCCAUCCCACGUUCCNNNNNNNNNNCCAUCCCACGUUCCCCUCAGAGCCCCGCCAUCCCACGUUCCCCUCAGAGCCCCGCCGCCAUGAUGCCAUUUCCGUCCCGCGCGCGUCCCCUCGGCAACGGCGGCGCCUCCGUCCGCCAUGGCGGCGCGGCCCCCGGCCCGUCCGCAGCCCCCGCGCCGCUCCCACAGCCGGAGGCGCCGGGAGGUCCCCGGCUGCGCUCCGCACGAAGUGGCGCUGGCUCCGUGACUUUCUGGAGGCAGAGGAGAGGAGGCACCUUGCUGAGGUGAAAGCACUUGAUGAAGAAAAGGCACAGCAAAGAGAAGUAAAGAUGAAGGAACAAGCAAAAUUGCUGAGGGAGAAGAGGGAGCAAGAAAGACUCCAAGUGGUGGCUGAAAAACGAGAGCAACAGUUCAGGUAUUGCAUAAAUAUAUCUUAUAAAAGAGAAUCUGCUCGAAGUAAAUAUAUAGGCGCAAUUUAAAAAGAAGCUGGCAAUGAUAAACUGAAGAAGGAAAGAUGAAAGUGAUUGAAAUAGUAAGACAGAAAAAAUGAAAGUAGUCAAUUCUUGCCAGUGUAGUGUGUCCUCCUUGUCCACAUGAGCAUCCCUGCUUUUCCACCUGUCAAAUCAACCUUUUUUGUAAUUCCUGUUCCAGCUUUAUACUGUUGGAAUGAACAGUUCAGGGAAGAUUAAUUUGGCCUAAAUCAAGCUUACUAAGACAGUAUAUCAAAGAUUCCUGAAACGUUAAGAUUGUCAAAAAAUAAUACAGUGUUUUAUUGCAUAGCUUUCCAGUGUAGCAGCUGCAGCUAAGGGUUUAAUGCAGCCUGAAGUCUUGUGCCAAAUCUUCCUGACUGAAAGCAGUAACUUGCAGGUACUUACUGGGACCCGAGGCCUUGGCAUGAAAUCUGCCUUGUCUCAUUCCUGUAAAUCUGGUUUUCCAAGGGAGGGAUGAAAGAAAUAAUAAUGUUAUUAAACUGUGAUUAUUUGAAGUGUCUUU